rnacentral:rRNA from 1 species
ACGGGGGGAGCAAGCGUUGUUCGGAAUCACUGGGCGUAAAGGGCGUGUAGGCGGUUCGGUAAGUGGGAUGUGAAAUGCCCCGGCUCACCCGGGGACCUGCAUCCCAAACUGCUGAGCUUGAGUACAGGAGAGGGUGGGGGAAUUCCAGGUGUAGCGGUGAAAUGCGUAGAUAUCUGGAGGAACACCGGUGGCGAAGGCGCCCACCUGGCCUGCUACUGACGCUGAGGCGCGAAAGCUAGGGGAGCAAACGGGAUUAGAUACCCCGGUAGUCCUAGCCGUAAACGGUGAUCACUAGGUGUUGGGAGCAUCGACCCUUCCAGUGCCGCAGCUAACGCAUUAAGUGAUCCGCCUGGGGAGUACGGCCGCAAGGUUG